AUUGAACGCUGGCGGCAGGCCUAACACAUGCAAGUCGAACGGGAAGGCGGACGGGUGAGUAAUGCAUAGGAAUCUGCCUGGUAGUGGGGGACAACGUCCGGAAACGGGCGCUAAUCACGCAUACUACGAGAUGAGCCUAGGUCGGAUUAGCUUGUGGGUGGGGCAAAGUCCUACCAAGGCGACGAUCCGUAACUGGUCUGAGAGGAUGAUCAGCCACACUGGGACUGAGACACGGUCCAGACUCCUACGGGAGGCAGCAGUGGGGAAUAUUGGACAAUGGGCGAAAGCCUGAUCCAGCCAUGCCGCGUGUGUGAAGAAGGUCUUCGGAUUGUAAAGCACUUUAAGUAGGGAGGCGUUACCAACAGAAUAAGCACCGGCUAACUCCGUGCCAGCAGCCGCGGUAAUUC
rnacentral:rRNA from 1 species